CCAAUAGCUUAUCUCUUCAACUUUCUCGACAUGUAACUUCGCUUUUAAACAAGCUUUUGCCUUUGCUUGCCUGCUCGAUCUUUGCUCAUUAGUUUUUCAAACUACUUAGUAAUCUAAAAGAAGAAAGAUAAAGUAUAUAUUCAUCAUUGACUAUGGAUGCUAUUUGCGUAAAAAAACAAAUUAAUGAAAAAGAGGAAACCUACAAAUUACCAUGAAAAGAAACCAGACACAAAGCUCAAACUCGCGCUGGCAGAAACAAUGAAUAAUCAAAAUAGGAAUGUGGGAGACACCGACUAAAAGUAGCUUAAGAAAUGUAAAACCAUAAAAUAAAAAAUGACCUCAAUUUCUCCGGUGAAUUAAAAAAAUGAAAUAGAAAAAGAAAAGAAGGAGAGCACCCGAAAAGAAUAUUGGGUGCAUUUAUCUGUUCUCUUUUUUUUUCUAAUAAUUCGUCAACCGCUUUUUGACGGAAAACAAAAAAAUUAAACUCUGAAUUUCUGCCAAAAAAAAAAGAGAAAGAAAAUCGUAAACGAUAUAUACAACUAACCGAUUAAGAUAGGAUAGUAAGAUAUCCAUUACAAAUUAACGGUAUUUUUACUCAUUAGACGGAUACGCUUACCAAAAAUGAAAAAAAGCGUAGGAAUGGGAAUUAAAGCGGUAGCAAUAAAUCCCAAAAGUGAACCGGCCCAGCCGAUGCCCAUAUUGUGAAACAUUUGAACAGCAAAUAAAGGAAAUCCUGCAGCAACCAAACUACGCAUAAUUGUGUUGGCAGCAAUGACGGAUGCUGCACGGAACAGAUAUGCAUCGAUCAAAUAAAUCAAAGAUUGCAUAAAAAUCGUAAGGAUACCACACCCAGUAAGCAAACCGGAGAGUGUUGGUACAAUCCAGUGUACAUGAGUAUAAUAACCGGACCAUGCUAGCCAAAAAAUGCCUGCUGGAAAUAACACCGAUCCGAUCAUCAUGGGUGGUAAACGAGCCUCAGGAACUGGUUUCCCUCCAUUGGCGUCAAGCUUUCUAUUGUAAUAACCCUGGAAAUAAGCAAUCAGGGCAGCACCUAAAAUAACACCAACCAAAAGACCGAUGUAUGGAAGGGCGUCUACACCUAGAGAGAAAUGUCGCUUUUCUGCAAAUAUAAUUGGAUAAGCCUCCAACAAUAAAUACAAAAUUCCAUACACAAAUGACAUGUACAGAGUGAGAAGAAAUACGAUGGGUUCGCAGAACAACAAGACAAAAGGAACAGCCAAGUAUCGUUUUGCUAAAGCCUUAAAGUCAAUGUACUCUUCUUCAGACUUGGCACGAAUGAAGUUGUUGUUGUACUCAACACGAAGUCGGGCAGCCUCUUGCUCAGUAAUGGUACGAGAAUAACAUUCCUUCAUAAAAAGCAAACAAAGAGUAGAGAAAAAACCCAUAAAUGAGGUAAUGUAUUCUGUCCAACGCCAACCCAAAUAAGACUUUGCAAGGAAACCACCAGCAAUAGGACCAAUCAAUGGACCGGCAAAGGUAAUGCAAGCAAAUAUACACACCGCCGGGCCACGAGUUUUGUUGUCAAACAUGUCGGCAAAGGCAGCUGCCACAACAGACAAGGGAGAACUGGCGCAGAAACCGCUGAAAAAACGACAGAUCAUCACAGUUUGCACAUCUUUGGCAACGGCAACAGCAAUUGAGAAAAUCGAAAACAUAAACAUUCCUACAAUUAAUGGAAUCUUACGUCCCACCAAUUCCGAAAUAGGAGCCCACAAAAUAGGACCUGAAGCAAAUCCACAAACGUAUAGAGACAUACCCAACAAGGCAACCGUAAGACCGAUAUGAUACUUGGCUGCGAAGAUGGUAGCAGCUGCGGAAAAAACUGAGGAACCCCAAGAUGCAGUUAGUGUAGUAAACGCCAGUAGAGCGACAUGCAAUAUUUUAACAUGUGUAGGCCAAUUGACAGCCAACCUAGGAUCUGAGGGUUCAAGAGACACAUAGAACCUUUCCGGAUUUGUGAUGUAUGGAAAGCCACCAGGGCCUUCCUCUAUUAAUAACUGUUGCUUUUCCAAGUCAGCUGAUUGGUAUUGCUCGGCAGGAAAACCUUCGUCUGCCACGGCGGGAUCGGUGUGCUCAGAAGUUGAAUCAGUAGAAGAUGCAUGCUGGGCGUUUGCCUUUUCCUCAGAAUUUGAUGAGUCAGAAGAGGUAGAAGAAUUAUUGUUAUACAUUUUGAUAAGUUUAAAAGACGAAGAUGAGACCGUUCGUCAAAACGGAUGGAAGAAUCAAUCAGCAAUCUAGCAAAGGGGAAAACGAGUAGGAAAAAAGGAAAAAAUAAAAGAAAGAAAGAA